UAAAAUUAGCUCCUAAAGGGACUGUUUAUCUCUCUGAACUGAUUGAGAAAGGCUGCAAGCAUGAUAACUGUGGUGCAUGCAACUGAGGAGACCCUUAAGGGAGUGUAAAAAUUGUAGCAAAAAAUGCCUAGAUACCCUAUCCCAGGAAGGUGAAGACAGGGAAGGUGUUCUCUGGCAGGUAUGAGGUGAAAAGGCAGGAGUCCUGGCUCCUGGAGAACAUGAUUGUGACAGUCCUAUAGGUGUCUUGACACUGUGGAGAGUAGCAGCUUCUGAUAGAGGAAAAACAGAAACAGAAAAUGGAAAUUCUUUUGGCACCUCUGUUUAUGCUUGUCCUACUUGUUGUUUGAAUGCCUUAUAAAUAUAUGAAAAUAUACUGAACCCAAAAUUGUGACAUGCUGACCUGAUGUCCUGCAUCCUUUAAAUAGAAGUACAUAGAUCAUGGUCAGGAUUACAACGUGGAGAGGUGAGUAUGAUCAGACAGGUGGCCCAAGUUCAUUAACUGUCUACCUCCAACAUUUCCUUAGCUCCAGAUACUCAAUUUGACCAUCCAUAAAAAGAGAUGGUACUAUUUACCUUUUAAGGUUGUGGGGAGAUUCUAAUGAGAUAGAAGAGAGAGCCUAAGACAAUAUCUGGUAUAUAAUAAGUGCUCACAAAAUCACAGGGAUUAUUACUUCUCUUGGUGUUAAUUGCUUCAUAAUAAGACAGGCAUACGCAUUCUCUUAAGAAAUGAAAAAAUAAGAAACUAAAAUUGUUUUAUCCUGUCCCCCUUUCCAGCCUUGGGAGGACUACUCAGAUGAUAGGAACCAGUGGUUGAAAAAGAAAGAGAAACAAGAUGAAAGGAUUCGUGACUUUUCUGGGAAGUAUAAAAAGCUAUUUUGUGCCUCUUCUUUAUUUAGUUGCCAAUAGAUUGUUUUAUUUAUCUAUCUUGUUGUGUGAUAAAAUGCGAUAUGGGAGUAAUUGUUUUUCUUGUGUGUGCAUGCAUGUACGUAUUUCUAUUUUGAUGAAGUGCUGACCCUGCUGAUUCAGAAUACCUUUAAGUUUUACAAAGAUUUUGUUUUCUCCUGGCUUCCUCUUGCAUACACAAAGGCAGUAAUAGAGUGUCAUUUAAAUAAUAUGCCUUGGUUAGAACACAGCAAACUAGUUAAGAGAAACAUUUUAGAGGUUGACCUAAAAUACAUUAACUUUGAAAUAAAUAUACAUCUGGUAUAAAGAAUGAAUUUUACCAAAUAUGCAUAUCAGUUAUACCAACAGAUACCAUUUUGGGAAGAUACGUAUUCUGGUUUUAAAAAUAUUUUAGUUUGAGUUCAGUUGUAUUAUAGCUUACAUAAUACUAAUUAGAUGCUGGCUCAGAACUAUGUGUUAGUCAAAAAUUUUGGCUAGGUUCUCAUGAAAUAUCUGAAAGGCUAAAGAACAAUGUAAUUAUGCAUACAUUUAAAAUUUUGAAAGAAACAUCCCAUGUGCUACCUGACAGUGAAAUUGUCCCUGAUGAUAAGGAGAAAGGAUAAGAAGAUGCUGGGGACUGCCCGGUUCAGAGUGGACAUACUCAGGCCUAAUUCCUUAAAUAUUCAACUGAACUAGAUGAUGCUCUAUGAUCUAUAAGCUCUCUGUGCCUUGGUUUCUAAUAGAACAAAAUGUAGGGAGCAUCAAUCUCAUAAAUAUUUCUUUUCUUUCUUCUUUUUUUUUUAUAAACUGAAUGGAGAUUCCUGUGCAGUAGACUAUAUCAUAAAUGCUGGCAUUAGAAGAUUAGAAAAACUCCUGUCUUAUAAACUAUUUUAUAUUGGGUAUUUACUAUUUAUAGCUAACGGAUUUCUAAAUAUAUGAUUUGACCUGCUACAUUUAAACUAAGUAAUAAAAUACGUGUCAAAUAAUCCAAGUUAAUAUCCAAAGUCAUGACAUUAUCAAAGUUACAGUUUUUUCUUAAUCUGUCAAGAAUUUCAGUGCUAAAUUGACCUUAAUUUUUUAAAAAAAUAAUAUUUAGGUAACUUUCUGAUUACUCAAAAUAGUUCAGAACUGUAACUCAUGCUCCUGUGUGUGUGUGAUUUUUCUGCCUGUGCACUCUAUAACUGUGACUUGCUCAAGGGUGCUAAGAAGAGAGAAGCUGAUGUGGCUGAUGUUGGAAGGUGAUGAAUUCAUCCAUGGUAAAAGAAAUAUCCCUUAAGGCAGGGGUCUCCAACCCCUGGACCAUGGACAGAUCAGUGGCAGCAUCAGAUUCUCACAGGAGCAUGAACCCCACGGUGAACUCCACAUGCAAGGGAUGUAGUUGCGUGCUCCCUAUGAGAACCUAAUGCUUGAUGAUCCGAGGUAGAACAGUUUCAUCCCAAAACCAUUCCCCUGCCUCCGUAGAAAUAUUGUCUUCCACGAAACUAGGCCCUGGUGCCAAAAAGGUUGGGGCCUGCUGCCUUAGGGCAUGUCCUGUUACCAGCUUCCAGUUGCCCUUGAAGUGGUCUUCAUUAUCCUGGCUUUCUCUCCUCAGCCUCUUCUUCCUGCUGGACUUCCUACGGGCCUAUCCCUCACUGGCUCUGGGUCCUGGGCCUCUACCCAGGCCUGAGUCCAUGUGCUCAGAAAAGGUGUGGUUUCAUCCUUCUGGAGUACUGGUGUUCAUGUGACUGUCCUUUGAAAGAACAGGGCAAGAGUCAUCUGUUUUCUAUUAAACUUUAAUGACAUUUGAUACACACAAGACACUGAGAGAGGGGCAGAGAAAACUGGAUGUGCAGAUAAAAUGGAGACCAAAGUAGUACAUCAGGAGAGAUGUGAAGAUAUCCCAGCCUGCCAAUAUUGAGUGAAAGCACUUUGGAAAGUAGUAACUUGGAUAUCAGAAUAAAUAAAUAUUAUGGAUUCUCCCCUGCAAGUUUUACCCAGUAUCCCUGAAAGAAAAAGCUUCCUCUCACCUGUUUUGACUGUACGUGUGGCUGUGCUCUCUGGCUUCAGAAUUGCUUCUAUAGGAAGAAAUUAAUCAUCGAUUAUUCUACUAAAAUAGAUGUAACAUUCACUGUGAUCCGUUAUGUGAGCAACAAUGUGGAGUACUGGUAUAGAGUUUCGGGAGACCUGGGUGUUAAUUCUAGCUUAGUCACAUGCUACAUGUGUGAACUUGGGCAAGUUACUUGAUCCUGAAGCCUCACUUUUCUCCUUUGAAAAUGGGAAUAAUACUACCACCUACCUCCUGGAAUUGUAGUGGUGAAGAUUAAAUCAGGAGAAAAUGAACGUGUGUGAAUCGAAAGACCCAUCCUGCCUUAACAAUUUUGGCACAGGCUGGCUGAGAGACUGAGAUAACACAGAGGACUGUUUCCUACAAGAAAGACACAUGUUUCCAGAUUGAGAUUCCAGGGAGGGCAUCCAGUUCCAAGGAUAACAGUGAUGGGGCUGAAUUUGAGACUGGGGUUGCUAUGGAAACAUCCCAGGCAGGUUGGCUAGUGUGGGGAGCAAGGACCGCUGUACACAAGCACCUCUGAAGACUGUCAGGAGUUUUCUAUGAAAAUUGGACUUCCUGCAGUUGUGUAGGUGAGAGAUUGGAAAUAUUGAGGUUCAGCUAUCCAUAUCAAAGAACCGAAUUUUCUCUCACUGGCUGGCAUGAUUUCUGUUAGAAUCUCCAAGACUAAAAGAAUGAGUAGACUGCCUUGAAUGUAAUGAGCCCCCCAUGAUGUAAUACUACUUGUGAGUAGUAUUUAAGGAGAGACCAGAUGGCUUUAUGUCUGUGUAUGUUCAUAUUCCACUAGAAAGCCUGCAUAUGUGUAUGCGUUGCAAAUUGUAAAACAAGUUCUGCAAUAUAAGUGCUAUUAUCACUAGGUAUGUGUAUGUUUCUGCUAUGCAUGUAUGUGGGAAGUCUCGCUGCAUGAGGGCUGACUUUCAAAGUCUCCUUUGCAACUCUUAAGAAUCUGUGGAUUUAUCAAAAUAAAAUAGGCAAUUUUAAUAAAUAAAAAAUCAUGUUCUAAUGGGGAGAUGUUGGUCAAAGAGUACAAACUUUCAGUUAUAAAAGGCAUAAUUUCUGGGGUGUAAUGUACAGCAUGAUAACUAUAGUUAAUACUGUAUUGUAUUGACAUUUGCUAAGAGAGUAGAUAUUAAAUGUUCUCACCACACACAUAUACUUAUGUGAGGUAAUGGAUGUGUGAACUAAGUUGUCUGUAGUAAUAAUUUCACAAUAUAUAUGUAUAUCAAAUCAUCACAUUUUACAUCUUAAAUUUAUACAGUUUUAUUUGUCAAUUAUACCUCAAUAAAGCUGGAAAAAGAUGUCACAGGAGCAGACUUGAUAAACGAUCACAGCUCGAAAAUAAGCAGAUUGAUGUCUGCUCUCUUCCAGGAAGAAAGUUUUAUAGAUCUCUUAUGUCUGCAAAUGGUUAAUAAAUGUUCUUAAAUAAUCCAGGACAAACUAUUUUUUGAUACAAUCUUAGAUUGAAAAGUU
rnacentral:lncRNA from 10 species